GGUUAAGCGACUAAGCGUACACGGUGGAUGCCUAGGCAAUCAGAGGCGAUGAAGGACGUGCUAAUCUGCGAUAAGCGUCGGUAAGGUGAUAUGAACCGUUAUAACCGACGAUAUCCGAAUGGGGAAACCCAGUGCAAUUCGUUGCACUAUCGUUUGAUGAAUACAUAGUCAAACGAGGCGAACCGAGGGAACUGAAACAUCUCAGUACCCCGAGGAAAAGAAAUCAACCGAGAUUCCCCUAGUAGCGGCGAGCGAACGGGGAGCAGCCCAGAGUCUUAAUCAGCAUUAGCAUCAGGAGAACAGUCUGGAAAGGCUGGCAGUAAAGGGUGAUAGCCCCGUAUCCGAAGGUGUUAGUGUUGUGAACUCGACGAGUAGGGCGGGACACGUGUUAUCCUGUCUGAAUAUGGGGGGACCAUCCUCCAAGGCUAAAUACUCCUGAUUGACCGAUAGUGAACCAGUACCGUGAGGGAAAGGCGAAAAGAACCCCGGCGAGGGGAGUGAAAUAGAACCUGAAACCGUGUACGUACAAGCAGUGGGAGCACCUUUAUGGGUGUGACUGCGUACCUUUUGUAUAAUGGGUCAGCGACUUAUAUUCUGUAGCAAGGUUAACCGUAUAGGGGAGCCGUAGGGAAACCGAGUCUUAACUGGGCGAAUGAGUUGCAGGGUAUAGACCCGAAACCCGGUGAUCUAGCCAUGGGCAGGUUGAAGGUUGGGUAACACUAACUGGAGGACCGAACCGACUAAUGUUGAAAAAUUAGCGGCAAUGAACGCAAAGAUUAUUGUUACACCGAAUAUUAAUGUUUCGGUGAUCAAAUCAUCUUUAGAAAACAAGAUGGAAAUAUACCCGGGUUGUGCAACAGCCACUGAGGCAUUUACAGCGAUUGAUGCAGGUGCUUGUAAUUUAAAAAUAUUUCCAACUGCACCACUGGGUGUUAACUAUGUUAAGUCACUGAUGUCAGUGAUCCCUAAAGAGAUAGCUAUUUAUGCCGUUGGUGGCGUGACGCCAAAAAACUUACAUGAGUACCUAAGCAUUGGCUGUUAUGGCGCAGGACUGGGAAAUGAUCUUUACCAAAUAGGCCAAACACCAGAGAAAACCAGAGAAAAAGCGAAAGCAUUUAUAUCUGCAUAUAUCGCAUUUAAAAAUCAAACUAAUUAAUCCUAAAGAGAUAUUAAAAUGAAAUACGAUUAUGUUUUUAAAAAUGCCACUGUAAUAGAUGGUAGUGGUAAAAGCGAGUUUGUCAGUGAUAUUGCAGUUAAAGAUGAACGGAUUAUUAAAAUAUCAAAAAAUAUAAACGAAGAUACUGAAAAAAUAAUUGAUUGUUCAGGCUUAAUUUUAUCACCUGGAUUUAUAGAUGUGCAUACGCAUGACGAUUUAAUUGUGAUAGAUAAACCAGAAUAUAUUGAAAAAACAUCACAAGGUGUAACGACAAUUAUUGUUGGUAAUUGUGGUAUCAGUGCAGCGUGUGCAACAUUAAAAGAUGAAGUCCCUGACCCAAUUAAUUUAUUAGGUGAAUUAAAUGAAUUUAAUUUCUCCGAUUUAGCCAGUUAUAAACAAAAAAUUAAUGAAAUCACCCCAACCGUUAAUGUGGCGACAUUAAUAGGCCAUACAACCUUAAGAAAUAAUUGUGUGACAGACUUAUUAAAACCCGCGACACCAGACAAUAUCGCUCAUAUGAAGCAAGUAUUGGCCUGUGCGUUAGAUGAAGGGGCUUUAGGAUUAAGCACUGGUUUAUCUUACGGUAACGCAAUUAAUUCUUCGACUGAAGAAAUUUGUGAGUUGGCUGAAUUAUUAGCAGAGCAUCAGGGUAUUUAUACCACUCAUAUGCGAACUGAAUAUGACGGUAUCAUUGAUGCGAUGCAUGAAGCCUUCCAUAUCGGCCGUCAUGCAAAAGUUCCUGUGCAAAUUUCCCACCAUAAGUGCGCUGGUGCAAAAAACUGGGGACGUACAAAAGAAACGCUUGCCCUCAUUGAAAAAUACCAAGCCAUGCAGGAUAUCAAUUGUGAUUGUUACCCAUAUCGUGCGGGUUCAUCAAACUUAGAUAUCACACAAGUUACUGAAGACUAUGACAUCCUAAUAACUUGGUCGACACCAUUCCCUGACGUUGCGGGUAAGACAUUAAAAGAAAUAGCCGCUAUGUGGAGUAGCGAUGUUUUCCAAGUUGCUGAAAAAAUUGUUCCUGCGGGAGCGAUUUAUUUCCAAAUGCACGAAGAUGAUGUUCGUCGUGUGUUACAGCAUCCAAGCAGUAUGGUGGGUUCUGAUGGCUUACCACGUGACCCUAAUCCACAUCCACGCCUUUGGGGAACUUUCCCACGAGUUAUUAGCCACUAUAGCCGUGAUGAGCAGCUUUUCCCAAUGACCACCGCGAUUUACAAAAUGACAGGCAUGUCAGCACAACGUUUUUCUUUAAAGGAUAGAGGCCUUAUCCAAGAAAAUUAUUUCGCAGAUAUCGUUGUAUUUGACCCUAAAAAAAUUAAUGAAACAGCCACGUUCCAAGACCCAAAACAAAAAGCGGAUGGUAUUGAAUAUGUGUUUGUUAAUGGUGUUCUGACCUAUACCAAAAAAGAAAUGACAGGGAAUAGAGCAGGUAAAUUCUUAGAAAGAAAUAAAUAAAAGAGAGAUAAAAAUGAUUAAAAGAUUCGGAAUUGAAGGCUCAAAAGGUACUGGCGGGCAAUCUUUGCCUUUUGCUAAGGCCGUGUUAGCUGACGGAUGGCUGUAUGUUUCAGGGCAAACACCCAUGAAUUGACGGGGAACGUGAUU
rnacentral:ncRNA from 1 species